rnacentral:misc_RNA from 1 species
UUUCCGUAGGUGAACCUGCGGAAGGAUCAUUAUUGUAUAACCGAGGUGCGAGGGCUGUCGCUGACCCGAAAGGUCGUGGACGCCCGAGUGUCUUCACACACAUCCAUCUCACCCCUAUGUGCACCACCGCGUGGGUCCCCCUUUGGCUUGUUCGGAGGGGGGCUUACGUUUUCACACAAACUUUGUAUGCAGUGUAGAAUGUAUUUUUUGUUUUUGCGAUCACGCAAUCAAUACAACUUUCAACAACGGAUCUCUUGGCUCUC